rnacentral:misc_RNA from 1 species
GAUGAAGAACGCAGCGAAAUGCGAUAAGUAAUGUGAAUUGCAGAAUUCAGUGAAUCAUCGAAUCUUUGAACGCACAUUGCGCCCGUUAGCAUUCUAGCGGGCAUGCCUGUCCGAGCGUCAUUUCAACCCUCAGGGUCCCCGUUCCGGCGGGGAACCUGGUGUUGGGGGUCGGCCCGCCCCGUGCGGCGCCGUCCCCCAAAUUCAGUGGCGGUCUCGCUGCAGCCUCCCCUGCGUAGUAGUUACAACCUCGCAUCGGAGCUCAGCGCGGCCACGCCGUAAAACCCCCGACUUUCUGAACGUUGACCUCGGAUCAGGUAGGAAUACCCGCUGAACUUAAGCAUAUCAAUAAGCGGAGGA